GGAGAGGUGCGAGAGUGGUUGAAUCGGGCGGUCUCGAAAACCGCUGUACCCUUAGUGGUACCGUGGGUUCGAAUCCCACCCUCUCCG
rnacentral:tRNA from 1 species